CUACUUCAUCUUCAAUAUUAUGUUUUUCGACAAUCUUAUCCUUCUUCUUCCUCCUCAUCUUAUUUUCGUCGUUAUUUUUUCGAUUAAUUUGGGAAGAGACGUUCGGUUUUUCCUUUUUCCUUCUCCUUUUUUUUGCUUGAGAUUUGUGUUUCCACGGCUCAUUUCCUUGUGCUUUGAGUUUCUUGAGGAGACUCGUGUUCCAAUAGUUUUUGAUGUCAUUGUCUGUUCUACCGGGUAUUCUUCUGGCAAUGAGGGACCAACGACUACCCAAAAGAGUAUAAAGUCGAACAAUAAGAUCGUCCUCUUCGGGGUGUAAAGGUCCCUCUAUUGAGUCCCCGGCUUAAGAUAAUUCACCCAUCUUAAUCUACAACUCUUGCCGCAUCUCAGUAGCCCUAAAAUAUGUGAACUACAUUUAAUUAGUUAACUAACUAGUUUAAGUUAAGUGCAUUGAUAAAAUAAACUUUUUAUAUAAUUCGAUCGGGGUGAUCAGAGGUGAAAUUAAUCACAACUUUCUUGAAUAUGGUGAUAAUUGAUACCCUAUUUGUCAGAAAACUACAUUAUAUAACUAGGUAAAGAAAUUCUUAGGUACACCUAAUAUGUAUGGAAUUCCUUUGACGUUUUCAUAUAUUGUUUAUUUUAUUAUAUUUUGACUUUGAUCGUAUUGAAAAUUCUAACUUUGACACUGAAAAUGACCUACAUAAACACAAAUAAUUCUAUGAAACAACUUUAAAAACAGAGUAAUUCAUAGUAUUACAUACAUUUUGAAGCCACUUUUUCAUUAACUCAAAAUUCACAAUGUCUAAAUUUUGAUCCGUCUCGGAAAAAAAAAUUGAAUUUUUUUGAAGUGAUUACCUGCUUUCUUAGGAAGAGAUCUCCAUCCAGUACCUUCACCAAAAUCCUUAAUAUAUUCAGUAAGAAGUAAAUCUUCUUUUUUAGUCCAUGAUCCUUUCUUUAAACCUUCUUUAGAACAACAAGGUUUUCUUCCCAUUCCUAAUUCCUUCACAAAAUGAUAAUUUGAUUUUUAGACAAUGAGUUCUUUUUUGUGUGUUAUUAAUGUAUGGAAAAAAAAACAAUAGAAAUGGAUGAUCUAGAAGUUAUUAAAUAAUCCACGCUCCUUUUAAAGAGUUUGUUGGUAUGUAUAAAGUAUAUAUUAUUUCCCACAUGUAUGUUGUUGGUUUACCGGACAUCGGUCAGAUUCAUUAUUUACUUAUUAUAUAUAUAUAUAUAUUAUAUACUUUUUUCGCUCAUUUUUAGUUUUUUACUUAUCUGUUUUGAAUUUUGUACGUCGUUUAAGAAAUAAUGAUUGAUAUGAGAAUAUUUUAUUAUAAUGUCUAUAUUAAUUGAUAUUUAUUAUUAAUGCUUAAAAUUAAUUUUAAAAAUAAGUAACUAAUAGUAAUGAUAAAAUAUAAUUUUUUUAAAAAUCUUCUUAAUAUAUUAAAAAUGACAAGUAAAAAAUGAAAAUAUAUUUAUAGAACAAUGGAUACAUGAAGGCGAAAGUUCUUGAGUGGACAACUAGUUAGAUUAUUUAUUUAUUUAUUUGAAAUAACACGUUUUUUAUAUAAUGUUCUUAUUUUAUCCUUCAUAAUACUCAUGUUUAAAAUGGCAUGAUUCAAAAAAAUUAAUUUGGUGUUAUAUUCAACGCAUCUUUAGCAUAAUACGACGAGAAAAUUCAAUAUUUUGUUUGUAUUUUUAUAUUUUAUGUCUAGUCUAAUUAAUAUGACAAAGAAAGUACUAUUUCCUUCGUCUCAUUUUAUAUGUCACAUUUUUACUUUGCACUUGCAUUAAGAAAUGAUGUAACUUUACCCUUCUACCCUUAUUUAAUAUUUUGGAACUCAAGUUUUCAAUCAAUGAAUAUGAAUUAAUUUAUUUUGAUUAAUUAAUUUAACCAAUGAAGAUGAAUCAUUUACUUAACUUUUCUAAGUUAGUCAAAUGUAUAUUUUCAAGGCUAAUAACUCAUAAGGGUAAAAAAGGAACAAUAUGGUAAUUUAUGCAUUGAUUUUAUGAAAUAACAAGUAUUAUGAACCAACUAUUUAUAAAAAGAAAUGACAUAUAAAAUGGAACGGAGGGAGUAUUAUUAUUUAAGUAUAACGAAUUGAUUAGUCAAAAGUUGCUCUGUCCCACUCAAUUAAUGUGAUACAUUUUUGCAAAAUAUGAAGUUUAAGAGAAAAAAAAAUAAUUUUAACGAUUAUAAAUCACUUCAAUAAGAGAAAAAUAAUUUUUAAAAUUUAAAUAAAAAAAAGUUAUUCUCAUUUAGUUGUGGAUAGUUUUUACCUUUUCAAAAUUUUAAUUCGGAACAUAAGAUUGUUAUAAUGUUUCAAAAUUCAACUUGAAGUUGAACCCCCAAAUUUUACAGAAUUUGAAAAAAAUAAUUAUUUUCACAUUGAAUAGUUACUCAAAAAAAAAAAAAAAAAACUUUAAUUUAUAUUCAUAUUCAAAAACAACUUCAAUUUAAAUAUGAUUUUUUAACUUGAAAAUAAAAACUCCUAUUAUUUAGCUUUUCAAAUUAUAUGUUUUUUUAUGCUCAAAUGACAAUUAAACUAAUAAUAAUUAUAUUUAAUUCUCACAUGGGUUUUUAGUAAUAUUAGCACUAAAAAAAAGAAGCUAAAAUGUUUCACGUGUAUGAAAAAUUAUAGACUAUGAAAGUUCUUUGUCAUCACAUGUAAUAGGACAGAUAAAUUUUUCAAACAUAGUACUAACAACUUUUUUACUUUUUGAAUUUUUAGCAGUGAUAAUUGUUUACAUUUUACACCAAUAUUGAAUUAUUAUAUUCACGACAAAUGAAUGAAUUGAAUCGAAUAUCAAUCGAUUUUUGUCAAUAUAUGAUCUGAUCAGAUAUCAAUCGAUUAUUGUCAAUAUACGAACGAAUGAAUAUCAAUCGAUUGAAAAUAUAUAGAAUAGAUGAAAAUCAAUAUAAUAUAAUAUUCGAUCAAUCCAUAUUUAAUAAUGAUUUUUUUUUUAAAAAAAAAAAGAGAGGUGGGGGGUGGGGGGUUAACCAACGAAUAAUAUAAAUAUUUAUUUUAUUCAUGAUUUCAGGAAUGAUUAAGUGAAAACAGAAGCUAGAAAUCAAGAUAAACAUAGACUCUCAAAAUAAAAAACUCGUGAAAAUAAUAAGCAAAUGAAUGGAUACGGGUAGUAUGAAUAUUCAAAUUAUUCAUCUUGAUAUUUAUUUGUUUUAAUGAAUAAUAUUUAUAUUUGAUCGAUUUAAAAAAAAUUAGUUAUCCAAUUUAUUUUGUCGAUCAUCUUAAAAAUUAGAUCACUUUCACUCUAAGUAAAGAGCUGUGAAUUUUAAUUGUGUAUAACAAUAAUAUAUUUAGUAAAAUUUAAAAACAAAUAGUGUAUAAAUAUAUUUUACUUCUACCUUAGGACUCCACGACGAAUACGAAAUUAAAUAAAAAAAUAAAGCAAACUUUUACACAAGCUAAAUGUAUAUGCAAGAUAGAAACUUUUUCAACUGAGGAAUCAAGUAAAAAUUUGAUUUGCUUAAAAUUGGACAAUUAGAUUUUUGAUUUGACAAAUGAGAUGACUAUUUCUCCUUUUUUACAUUUAGGAUUUGCUUGGCAAUAAAAAAAUAUUUACUUAUUUGGAGUAGCCAUUUUUUAAUUAAAGUAAUAAUCUUUGCCUAUGAAACAUUUAAGUUCGGUUUUAAAUUGCAUUUUAUAUUUAAAAAUAAUUUAUAAUAUAUUUUAAUUCUUUUUUUUAUACUAUAUUUUAAUUCUUUUUUAAAAUUGUACUUAAAAAAUAUGUUCAAAGUAUAAAUAUUAGUUUGCUAACCUUUGUAAUUGUUUUCAUCUAAUAAUUCUGACAAUAGAAGUCGAUUCAUUUAUUUGAUGUGUUAUAUAUAUAUCGUAUACGUUUUUAACUUAAAAUGAUAAGAUUCAAAUAUUUUAACUAAACACAAAAUUUAAGUUUAGUAAAUUCCAUGCAUACGUUUCACGUGCAAGAAAGACUAGUCUUCAUGUGACAUCAAUUUUCUAAAAGCAUUUUUGUUUACUUUGAAAUUUUUGCACUGAUAAUUAAUACUAUUCAAUUAGAGAUCGUUUAGUAUGCUGUAUAAAAUAAAUUAUUAUAGAUUUAAUUUUGGAACAUUUCAUUUUAUUAUACUUAAUUUGUAAUUAUUUUAUUACAAUUUUUAGAUAAAAUAAAAUAAUUUUAAAAUUAUAACUUUAAAAUAAUUAAAUCCGACUAUUAAAAUACCCCCUUACUAUUAUAUCCACAGUGCUUAGUUUUCUAUGUAAAAUUAUUGAUUUAAUGGCUUGCCUUUGAAUAAUUAGAAUUUAGUAGUGGCAAUUGGCAAAUGGCCGGUUCCAGAGGCGUAUCCAGGAUUUCCUCAAGAUGGGUGCACAAUUACAAAAAAAUGUAUCUUAAAAUAUAAAUUUGAUCGUUUUGACUUUUAGGUUUUUAAUAUGAACCAUUAAAUUUUAAAAUUAUAGGUCCAAAACAUAUAAUGCUACUAGUUUUAAUUUUUAAUAUACACAUUUGAUUUAAUUAUAUAAAAUUUUUACAGUGCUAAUUAUUUUAGGAAUUUUCAAUGUAACACACUUGAAAAUUUUUGAAAGAUUAAAGGAAUAAAACAAAAGAAUAAUUAGUUAAAACGCCAAAAAGUGUAAACCAAUAACCACUAAGAGAGGUGUUAGUAAAAGACAAGAUAGAUAUAAGAUUUAAAUUUCUAUCCUUACUUAGAGGGGUUGCACUCAAUCAUCAUCGUAUUAUUAUAAGAUACUUUGAACGUGGGUUCACACAUCUAUAUUUAAAUAUUUUAUAAAAAAUAUAACACUACUAUAUAUGAUCUAGAGAGGGGAGCAUGGGUUCACGUGAACCCACGGCACCCCCUCUAGAUACGCCCCUGGCCGGUUCGAGAAUAAAUUAGAUAAAAAUAAAUAUACUAUUUAAUUUAUUUAUAUUAUUAGUGUUUUCAGGAAUGAUUAAGUAAAAAUAUAAGUUAAAAUUUAAAGUAAGUUUAAAUUGUGAGAAAAAAAUUCACGAAAAAGUUGAGGUAGGUCUAGAACUUGUUUUCGGGAAUUAGUUAGAUCAUUUUCACUCUUAAGUAAAGAGACGUGAAUCUUUAAAUGUGUAUAACAAUAGUAUAUUCAGUAUAAUUCAUAAGUGAAAUCUAAAAUAAGUUAUGCAAGAUAUAACAUAUGAAUCUUUAAACGAAUACAAAAUUAAAUUAAAAAAUAAAGCAAAUUUUUACACACAAAAACUAAAUGUAUAUAAUGCAAGAUAUAGCAAACUUUUUAUUCUUUAAAAUUGCAUUAAAUGGAUGGUUGCAAGAGUUUUGGUGUGUCCCAUUGCUUAGCAAUAAUAGAAUUAUGAUAUUUUUUUUAAAAAAUAUUUAACAAGUACUAUUAAUAUUUUUUUUUUUUUAAAAAGUACUCCAUCCUUUUCAUAAUAAAAAGGAAAAGAAACUUUUUCAACUGAGGAAUCAAGUAAGAAUUUGAUUUGUAUAAAAAUGGGACACUCCCAAAACAUAUGAUUGGAAAAAAAAAAUUAUUUGAUAAAUGAGAUGACAAUUUCACCUUUUUAAUUUUUUUCAGUAAAAAAUGUAUCCCCGUCCUUUAUUUUCAAAAAAUUAUCAUAUUGUUUUUCCUCAUGUCUCAUAUUCUUAGGAUUGGUUGGCAAUAAAAAAUACUUACUUAUUUGGAAUAAUUUUUUUUAAUUAAAAAAUGAAUAUUUUUGACCAUGAAACACUUAAGUUCGGUUUAAAAUUGUAUAUUAAAUUUAAAAUAAUUUAUAAUAUAUAUUUUUAUUUUGAAAUAUUUUAAAAAAAAAAAAUACUUGACCAUGAAAUAUUAAAAAAUACAUUCAAGUAUAAAUACAUCAGCUCACAUUGUAAGAUGUCUACUUGAUUAUGUGUGACAAAUUUGAGGGAUUAUGUAAGAAUCAAACACUCGAAACGUCUAUACUAAUUAUCAUAAGAUACACAUAUAUUGCGCAUAUUUGAAAACUAGUUUAAUAUAAAUAUCUAAUGCGGAUAAAUACUAGUUUGAUUUUGGCCUUAGGCCACCAACGGGUUUGAGCCGCCCCUGCUUGGGAAUUUGCCAACAUCAACAAUAUUUUUUUAAGUCAACACCUUUUACCAUUUGUAUAACCAUACUUGUUUAAGAGUGUGUCAAGUCAAUCCUGAAUAAGUAAUCUACUUGGGAAUUUGCCACCAUUCUCAAGACUAGGCUUAUCUUCUCUACUCUUCAUGUAUCCCUUUAUCUAUAGUGCUUCACAUCAACAAUUAAUCUUUUCAGGGAAAUACCAAAAGAAGAAUAAGUAGUUUGUACUCAUAAGUGCCUCUGUCAAUGUAGUGCUACUGGUGGUGCUAAUAUGUUUCUACGACUAUUUCCUCUACAAGAAACUGUAUAAAAAUGACGGCAGAGGCCUUCGUAGUGGAUGUUGGUACAGGUCAGAAUUAUUAUUUUUUCUAUCCUUUUGUCCAAUUUCUUAAUUCUUCAGGUGCAUCCAUUGUGAUGUUUCAUGGAGAUUUUCCUUCUCUAUAAGGAUUUCAUCGAUAAGUUAGAGGUGCAUGUAUAAAUAGUAGUAAUAUUUUCCGGUUCAGAUGAACCCCAAAUAUUUUCCGGUUCAGAUGAACCCCAAAUAUGUUAGGGAUUGUUCUUAUUAUUUUCUCUAAUUCUUUUAAUUGAAAGAAAACCACAUAAUUAAUUUGAAAAUAAAAAAGUUGCAAAGCUACCUGUUCAUCCCAAUCAGUUUUGGAAGUGAUUAUAACUAGUGCAAUAGUUUGAACAAGUGUGCCAAUCAACAUUCCCAUCCAAACUCCCUACAAAACAAUUCAUAAUGUCAUAAUAUUUAUAUCUCUAUAAGAAAUUCAUAUUAAAGAUAAAAUUAAAUACUUACAUUAAAUUAUGUGUAGCUGAAAAGGGACGGUAACACUUCAGCUUAAGAUUAGAAGUUCUACGUCGGUAAAACAUAGGAGAGAUGUUGAGUAUAUAAGUAAGCAGGUCUUACUAACUAGUGACACGUUUUAAUGUCAUGCAUGCCUAGGUCCAAAGCGAAUAAUAUCACUAGCGGGCUGAGUUGUGACAAAUUGGGUGUCCUAGUCACUCAUGUGUCAACCUUGUCGAUGUGGGCCAGAAUUCAUUUGAGUUUAGGCAAAUUUCCAUAAGGCGGGGAAAACCUCAGCGAGGACGUUGAGUCCAUAGAGCGAGGGGGUCCAACUUAAGAUUAGAAGUCUCAUAUCGACAAAAUAUAAGACGAAUGUUGGGUUUAUAAAUAAACAGACCUUAUCAACUAGUGACGUGUUUUAAAGUCGUGCAACCCUAGGCUCAUAGACUUACCGUAACUUGUAAUUGUAGAAAAUAGCCAAGCAUUACUCCAACAGGAAUUCCCACCAAGUAAUAACAUAUAAUGUUAACAUAGGCCACAAUGGUCUGCCACCCUGCCCCAACAGCCACACCUAUAAUACAAAAAUUAAUAACACAGGAAUUAUUAAGAUAUAAAUUGUACUAAAAGUUAUACAUAUCGAAAUAAGACAUAAGAUAUAAAUAUAUCUUUUAACUUGGCUUUAUCUGAUAUUUAUGCUUGUGCACAUGAACACUUAAAGUUGUAUAAAAUUGAACAAGUAGACACGCAUUCUACUUGACAUAAUACAUGUAGCCUAUGUGACGUAGGGCGCCAUGUAAGACACUAAAUUUCCAUGUAGGAUGUCACCUAGGACGAAUGUGUGUAUAUAUUCAAUUUUAUACGAGUUUAGUACCUACUUGUGCACACUCAAAGUAAGAGGACAUCGAUGCCAUUUAAGGCCAAGUUAAAAUGCAUGCACAUUUAUGUAUUACGCCUAGAAAUAAUCAGUAAACUUACCAGAAAGUACAGGUUGAACACUAUUCAAUAGAACUGAAAAGGCCAAGAGAGGAGAUAAACUAUCUACUUCUUUUACUACUUCUAGACUUUUUGUGAAAACAAAAGCCAAACGUCCCCUUAGGAAGAAGAAGAAUAAUGCUAGGGUGAAUCCAAUGGCAGAUGAUAUUAAGACUAUUGUCAUAAUUGAGAAUUUUGCUGCCUUUGAACUUCCUCUUCCCAACUCAUUUGCUACUCGUACACUGAAAAUCAGCAUUACACGAUAAUAAUUAACAUAUUCAGUAUAAUCUCAUAAGUAACGUUUAAAAGAAAAAAGUAUGCGACAUCUUAUCUUUAUCUUUGUGAGAUAGAGAUGUUAUUUUUAAUAAACCUUGACUCGUAAGAAUUAAUCAUUUGCAGAACAAGUUUGAAUGAAAUGCAAGAGUAAAAAGCUAUUUUAAGUAGCAUUGUAAUUUGAAAAAGAUCUUUGAAACUUCUGGUUUAAUAUCAUUCUUAGAUAUCUGUGUGGUUGUAAUAAAUAUGAAAUUUGGACCUUGAAUUAUUCGAGGUGCAUGGUGAUGUCUGUUGAGAUAUAAUAUUAUUAAAUAAUUAAGAAAAUAUUUUUUUAAUAACUUAAUUUCUUAAAUGAAAUGAUUAUACAUAAACUUUAAUAUGAUAUCAAAAUAAAUAGAGGUCAUAAGUUCACAUACAACUUAAAUUUUUAGAUGAAAUGAUCAUGUAAACUACAAUAAUAAAGUCAUAGCAAUUUUUGUGAGACAACAGGUAGAAUAAAUAGAGGGAACAUUACCAUGCUGCACUCAUGAAGCCAAGAGCUAUCAUCAUUUCCCAACCAUUGAUGUUAAGGCUGCAAAAGAGGAAAACUUUUUAACCUUGCGGUACCAGAUUCAUAUGAAUUCAAUAAUUUUAAUGCGUAGUAUAAAUAUAUAUGUAAAAUUCCAUUAAUAUUAUAAUAAAUAAUAGAUAUUUAUAAUUUUUAAAAUAUAAUAAAUUCAAUAUUAUUAAGACCGAACCAAUCAAGUUUAAAUUCUGAAUUUGUCUUAUCGACCUCCACUCACUACAAAGUUAGAGAAAAUAAUGAGGAAAAGGAACAUACCAUAUAGAAAGGGCAUCAAUUUGAACCUCAGCAUUUUUGAAGUUUCCAGUCAGAAGAACAAGUAUACUGUUGUACCAAAGCUCAACACUUGUAUCCAUAAAUAAAUAAAUAAGGUUAUUACAUGCUCAAUAUUUGAUAAUUUGUACCUUCCACCUAAAUUGGAUACCAUAAUUUUAUAUUUUAUGGAUUCUCAUAUGUAGUUAUCUUUUAGAUGAUUAGAUAGUAUUAAUGUUUAGCAUGCUUUAAAUAGUUAAAUUACUCUGAGCUGAUUGGACUACGACUCAAUAUUUAGCUCAUAUUAUUUCAGUACAUCUCCACUCAAGUGAUCGUUAUCUGACUAUUUUUUAACUGAAUUCAUUUGAAUUCGACUAUUUUCAGCUCAAUAAAAUUAUUAGACACCCCUACAAAUAACUCUGAGCUACCAAUGUGCAAGUGAAGUUUAUAGAUUCACCAAAGCAUGAUAAUAGAGUAUGCUCUAAAUAGUGAAAUUACACUGAGCGGAUUGGAUUAUGACUCAAUAUUUAUCUCAUAUUGAUCUAGUUCAUCUCAACUCAAGUGAUCGUGAUCUCAAUAUUUAUUAACUCAAUUUAUUUGAAUUCAACUGUGAUCAAAUCAACCAACUUAUUUGACACCCCUACAAAUAACUAUGAGCUACUAAUGUGCAAGUGAAGUGUAUAUAUUCACCAACGCAUGCUAAUAGAGCAUGCUUUAUAUAGCUAAAUUACUCUGAGUUAGUUGGACUAUGAUCAACGGUAAGCUAAUUUUGAUCCAUUCCAUCUCAACUCAAGUGAGUCCGACUAUUUAUUAAUUCAAUUUAUUUUAAUUCAUCUAAAUUCAACUCGACCAAGUUAUUUGAUACCCCUACAAAUAACUCUGUGCUACCAAUAUGUGCAAGUGAAAGGUAUAGGUUCACCAAAGCAACGACAUUAGAGCACACUCUAAAUAGUUAAAUUACACUGAGCUGGUUGAACUAUUGACUAAAAAAUGUUUAGCUCAAGUGAUCUUUAUCCAACUAUUCAUUAACUCAAUUUAUUUUAAUCUACUCAAAUUUAACAUAAUCUUUUCAAAAUAACUCUGAGCUACCAAUGUGCAAGUGAAAAGUUGUAGAUUCACCAAAUUAAAUCAUGACAUUAUUAGAGCAUGCUCUGAAUAGUUAAAUUACACUGAUAGUAUAAAAAUUUGCGUGUAGACUCACCAGAGCAUGACACCAGAUGAUAGAGAAAGUUUGACAACAGGCCACAAAUCCUUGAAAAGCCAAGAAUGAAAAAGCCAGUCCAAGUAUCUUUGCACCAUCCACCCAUAACAUACAUUAAUUGCCCAAUAUUAGGUAUCCAAAAAUGCCAAAAAUUGUUGAUAUCAUAGCACCAGAUAGCCCAAAUUUGUACUUGAUUGUCAAAAACCAAGACAAAAAUGCAUGGAUUAUUAGUGUAAUUGCAGCUAAGUAUGACAAUAAUUAUGUUCUUGCUUUGUGCUUGAAGGUACAUUUGGCAAGCAAAUGACCCAACAUAUGCAUAUGCCACUGGGAUGAACCAAAGUGAAACUACUCCAGCCACUUGUGCUAUGUCAUUUUCUUGGCCUAAUGCUUUUAAAAUUGGAGUGGUAAAUAGAAAUAAUGGGAGUAAAAGUGUUGUGGUAAUUGUUAAGACAAUCAAUGAUCUUUGAAGAUGUAAACCAAGCAUAUGAUAUUGUUUUGCUCCAUAUGAUUGACCACAUAGUGUCUCUAGUCCACUUGCCAUACCUAUCUGUAAAUUAAAUUCACAACAUUAAUUUGUUUCAACAAGUCCAAAAACAUAACAUAGCAAAAGUUUAAGUUUUAUGUAUGGACAGUGUCACAAUAAUGAAAGAUCGAGUUAUUUGGUGGCAAUAGAUUUUUUUUAGUGUUAAUAUAGCGGCAAUUGAAUGUCAUUGCAUUCAGAGUCGUUAAAACAUUUAGUGAUAUCUAUAUAGAGUGUUAGUUAUGUAUACUGAUGUUUAAUAUUGCUGAUAUAAUAUAGCCAUAAUUAUAUUAUUGCCGUUAAAUUGUUGACACUAAAUCAUUUAUUGGUUGUAGUAUGUAAAGUAUACUUUUAUUGCUAUGAUAUUCUAGUUAUAACUUUAUAUAUAGUAGUUCCUCUUGUUUCUUUUUACUUGAUCUCUGUUGACUUAACUUCUUUUAAGAAAGUACUCUUUUGUUUCGAUUUGUUUGUCGGAAUGUGACUUGACGCGGACUUUAAGAAAAUAAAAAAGAUUUUUGAAUCUUAUAUGGUCUCAAAAUUACUCUCCCAUUUUCAAUUUAUUUGUCUUCUUUUCCUAAUCUGUUUAUGUAAGAAUAUCUUUUUCCCUUUCCGAAAACUCUUAAAUUCUAACCUCCCUGACAUGUUUAAUCACAAAAUUACUGAAUAUUUUGGUACAUAUGUCAAGUCAAAGCCAGACUAAUUAAUCAAAACGAAGGAAAUGCAUUAGUUUUGGUAUUAUUUAAUUUCCUAUUUAGUGUUUUCAACUUAUGUAUAAUUAAUAGGUGUACUAGUUAUAUAUAUUAUACGUAGUAAACUAUGACAUUAACAUACAAGAUACAAUUCCAAUUGUAAUAUACUUUAUUCAAUAUUAUUCUUAUUCUAAUACACUAUACUCAUUUAAUACAACAAAUCAAAUAGUCAAUAAAAAAAUAUCAAUAUUACUGAUUUCAACAUUAUUAAUACACCAUAUUUAGUACUUCAUCUAUCCUAAUUUAUAUAAUUCACUUUCCUUUAGUCAUUCAAAAAGAAUAAAAUAUUUCUAUAUUUAAUAACAAUUUAAUUUUAAAAUAUUCACAGACAUUGUGUGAUUGAAAACUUACAAGGAUGCCAAUGCAAAAUCUGAGGAGGACAGUGAAAAUUAAUGAAUAUGCAGCAAGUUCAGUGGCACCAAUAUGACCAAUAAAAGCUAGACUAAUAACAUUUACUCCCAUUGUUGAAAAUCUUGUAAAUAUAGCUGGAGCUGCCACUACCCAUAAUUUCUUAUUUUCAUGUAAUAUCAUAUCCUUCAAUUUCUCUUCUUUUUCCACAAUAAUAAUAUUAUUUCCUCUUUCCUCUUCUUGGUCCUCUCCAUUUUUAAUCAGCCUCUCACUUAGAUAAUCAACCAUUUCUGUAAAAAAAAAAAACAUAAGUAUUCAGUUACAAUAUCGGAAUCAGAAUUUUCACUGUAAAUAUACCUAAGUAAAGACCUUUUGUAUAUAUAGUGUGAUUAUCUCGAAAAAAAAAUGUACUAUGGCUUGACGGUCAAUCAAUUGAUAUGAAAACCAUGAGACAUCAACAUUCAAUAAUCUCAAUAAAGUUUUAAAAAAAAAACAUUUGGCUAAUGAAUUAUUUCAAUUUUGAGAAAGGAAAAAAAGCAUUAAACAUAAUAAUUGAUGUAAAUCUAUAAAGUGGUAAAAAAAAAAGUGGAACUAAAACUAUGAGAAAUUACAUAUCAUCCAUAUCUCAAUAGAGUCAAACAAACACUUAACGAAUUUUUUCAAUUUUGAGAAACAAAAGUAGAUAUUAGAUAAAAUAGUCAAAGUUGGUUAGGAUACCAACGUUAUUAAAAAAAAUAUAAAGAUUAAAAUUGGAUCUAUCAAAUGAAUAAUCAAAUGUGUAAAAGUGUAAGAAACACUUAAUCCAAGUAGGGUGGGGGUGGGGGGUUGACUGAAAAAACUUUAUUCUUGUAAAGUGAAUCAUAUUAUUGUGUUUGUAGAUUACUAUCCUUUAUGAACCAAUCACUCGACUGAAAGGAGAGGGAGCAAUCACAACGUUACACUUUAAAAUUAUACGGUACAUUUUCCAAUAAUCUAAAAUAUAGUCUAGUAGAUUAUUUUCGCCCGUAGAGAUGAGAUUAAAGGAAGCUAAAUAUGAAGCUUCUAACUCUAAUAAUCAACUCAAAACUAUAUUAGUAUAAAGCGAUAUUAUCCUUUUACAAAAUUCUCCCUUGAUUACCACCUUGAAUAACAAGACAAAAUAUUGUUUAAAAACAGGAUUGGAACACAUAAAUUGCUUGGAAAAUAAGGAAAAGCAAAGAAGGUACACAUAAAUUGAUUAAAACCAAAGCAAGCAAGAAGAAGAAGGUUAACAAAAACUCACCUACCCAAGAAGAGAGCAAAUGAAGGAGAGAAGGAAGCAAAAGAUAGAAGUGGAAGAAAGACACUUCCUAGUAAUUUAUUGUGAUGAAGUGAGCUACUUCCUCCGUUCCUAUUUAUAUGUCACUAUUUUUUAUUUCACAUGUAUUAAGAAAUUAAGUAAGUUUACUAUUUUACAUUUAUUUAAUUUUUUUUAAAGUCAACUUUUCAAUCAAUGAAUAUAAAUUAAUUAAUUUGACCAAUGAACAUAAAUUAUUUACUUAGUUUUCCUAUGUUGGUCAAAUGUAUAUUUUCAAGGCAUAUAACUCACAAGGAUAAAAUAGGAAGAAUAUUGUGAUUUAUGCAUUGAUUUUAUGAAAUGACAAGUAUUAUGAACCAACUAUUUAUAGUAAGGAUAACAUAUAAAAAUGAUCAGAUGGAGUAGUAAUUUAUUGUGAUGAAGUGAGGGAGUAAUUUGACUGUGCAAAAAAUUUAAGAAAUAUAGGAAGAUUUUGCGAUAUUUCAAAAUUGCCCAAUAUAUAAAUAGAUUUUUAAAUAGAAGAGUAUAUGUUUAUAAAAUUUUUAAUAGAUUUUUUGUCAAAUAAGUAUGACUUAAUAUGGAUUUUUUUGUCAAAAAGAAGUGUGGUUGCCUUUUAGACUUAAAAUAUGAUACACGUGUUUGUUUGUUUUUUAGCAAAAAUGUUAAGAACAUGGAUCAAAGGGUGUUAUUGUAAUUGUAGGAAAAUAGAGUAGUUUUAUUGGCCCAAAAGAUUUUUACGGUAAAUUGUUGUUAAAUGUGAAAUAUAUUAUUAUUUUUAAAAAGAACGAGUCCCAACAACCAGAAUGAGUCCCAACAAAAAAAAAUUAAAACAAUGUUAAUGACGAUGCCAUAGUUAUUACUCCUAUAUUAGAUUAGAGUUUGUGUCAGUAAGGAUUACAUUUUUUUUUUGUCUUAAUUUAUUUGAUAGGGGUGAAAUUUGAAGAUUCAGUUAAGUUUUUAGAUGUUUAUUUUAAAAAUAUUUAAAGUUUUUAAAUUAUAAUCUCUUAUAGUAUUUUUAUGUCAUUUUAAAUAAUAUAUAUUACUUAUUUUAUUAUAAUUUAAAUGGCAUAAAUAAAUUUUGAAUACUCAAUUAAUUUUUUAUAUGAUUUUUAUUUUAAGUUAUUUAUUAUUCUGAUUUAUUAUAUUUUUACGUGCAUUUUUAAACAAUGCGUUACCUUUUUUUUUUGUUCUAAUUCACCUGAUUCAUAAAAUUUAGAGAGUCAAACUAAUUUUAUAUUAUUUAUAAGUAUUUCAAGUUAUUAAUUAUUAUAACAUAUAAAUUUUAAAAAAUAAAUAAAUAUAUAAUAAACUAAAAAAAAACUAAAUAAUAGUGAGAUUAUUUCACCCAUAAUCAGAGUUUUUGGGUUCGAGCCCUGGAUAUGAAGAAAAUCUUCUUGGGGGCGUCACUACCAAAUGAACCCUACAGUGUGUGAUCCGAAUUUGAUCGAUACUCUAAUGUAGAAUCCAGACACCGAAUAGAAUAAAAAAUAUUUAAAGUUUUUUAAAUUAUAAUCUCUUAUAGUAUUUUUAUGUCAUUUUUAAAUAAUAUAUAUUACUUAUUUUAUUAUAAUUUAAAUGGCAUAAAUAAAUUUUGAAUACUCAAUUAAUUUUUUAUAUGAUUUUUAUUUUAAGUUAUUUAUUAUUCUGAUUUAUUAUAUUUUUACGUGCAUUUUUAAACAAUGUGUUACUUUUUUUGUUUCUAAUUCACCUGAUUCAUAAAAAUUUAGAGAGUCAAACUAAUUUUAUAUUAUUUAUAAGUAUUUCAAGUUAUUAAUUAUUAUAACAUAUGAAGAAAAUCUUCUUGGGAGCGUCACUAUCAAAUGAACCCUACAGUGUGUGAUUCGAAUUUAAUCGAUACUCUAAUGUAGAAUCCAGACACCGAAUAGAAUAAAAAAAUGAAGAGCGGAAUCGGAUCUGUGUUUCUAAAAACUUGUGCCAAAUUUUUAAGUGAUACUACAAUUCUUUGAGCUAAACAAUUUUUUAUUGCGUUGCUAAAAAAAUGGUAUUAAUUAUGCUUCUACUAGAGCUCCAUUAAAUUUUAAGAAAUUAUUAAAGGUUAUACCUAAAAUAAAACACAACAAUAACAAAAAAAGAUUAUGGUGUGUUUGAUAGGAUGAAUAUUUAUGAAAUAUUUUUCAGAAAAUUGAGUUUCUUAUAUAUUUUCUUGUAAUUUUUAUGUAAGAAAAAAACAAUAAUUUAAAAGCAUUUGUAUAUAAUAUAGACAAAGACUAUUAGAGUUGAAGGUGAAAAGGUGGUGGGGAUGAAGGUUACGGUAGUAAGGGAUGAAGAUGAUGUGUGUUAGUUUACUUAAUUAUUUCCGUCUUGUUAUAUCACGAACUUUAUAUACAGUGUUCAUCAAUUAUCAAAAUCAAUUUCAACAUAACUAACAUACAUAAAGUUUAACGUGUCAAAAAAUACUGCUUUGAAAUGUAUUAGAAUAUAAAAUUAUAUGUUCUAUGUUUCAAUUUGUCUGUCUUACUUUUUUAUCUCUAUAUUAAUUAAUAGAAAUGUCAAUUUUAUAUUCAGUAUUUUUUUACUCCAAAAGCGUACAUGACAUAUUUAAGAAGUACAACUUUCUUAUAACUUUUAACCAUAUAUGUCAUGCAUUUUUUUUUGUCAAAAAAUAUUUGAAGUGGAUGGUCCAAAGAGUUCACUUUUUUUUUGUUUUUAUUUUUUAUUUUUUAUUCGGUAUUUGAUAUCUAUAUUAAAGCUCAACUAUUUCAAAUUCACAUUAUAUAAGUCCCAUUUGGGGGGGAAGCACACUCUAUCAAGAAUUUUUUCAUAUUCAAAGCUUGAACUUAAUAUCUAUGAUUUAAAAAAAAACAACCUCAUCCACUACACGAUAAAACAUUCAUUAUUCACGUGAAAUAUAUCUUUUUUCAAGAUGACAGUAUAUAUGCAAUAAUGUGUUAGGUGACUUACUAGCUUUACUCCACAUCAAUUGUCAAAUUAUUGUCAUUCGGUGUUUCAAAAGGCAAGUGAGGCAGAGCGUUUUACUUAGUAAAAAAUGAGGCGUAAGCCUCGAUACAUGAGAUCUAAACUCUAUGAAUCUUUACGAACAAAAAAGAUACACUUCUACAACUGUUCUAAAAUGUUAGUGCUUCAAUCAAGUAAACUCAAUCGAGGAAAGGGACAAAUAUAUUCGUUAAUUUAUGAUUUAAGAAUGGAUAUAUUUUUUAUUAAAAAAAUAAUGUGUAUAUAUUUUCAUAUAUUAAUAUAUAUUUUAUAAUAUUAAAUAGAGUGUAUAACUAAUGUUUGCAUUAGUUAUACAUGAAUUGAUAAAGAUUACCAAAUAAGAUACUAAUAAUACAUAAUGAUAAUGCAUGUAUUAUUUUUUUAAUACACUCAAUCAGACGAUCUAACUAGUAUAGUAACACAAAGAGCGGCACCACUCCACUCUCAUAUAGGUCAAAUCAUUAAAUGUAUUUUUUUCCAAAAAAAUAUGAACCAUCUAUAAAGAAUUCAAUUCAAUUCAACUUCACUUCUCUUCCAAUUUUAUAAUAUAUCCACUUCCACUCAUUAUAGAAAAGAUAUAAUUUUAUAGUGCAUACUUAGUCAAUUAAUAAUUUAUUACUACCUAUAUAUUGACCUAAUUUUUGAGAUCUGCAAUAUGUCACAGUGAAAAGUUGUCCCCAGUUGGUUAGGUGAUAUGUUUUUUGGUCCAUAUUAAAUGAAUGGUUGGACAGGACAUAUUCUUUUAAAAAUAUAUUUUAGAAUAUAAAUAAAAUUUUAUUUUAUUAUUGUUUCUCAUUUUCAAAUUAUUCUCCUAAAUUAAUAUUAAGUAAUUAUGAAUUUCAUUAAAUGAAAAAUAAGUACAAAAAAAUGUCUCAAUAAUUAUGUGAAUUUUGAAUAAUUUACUUAAUUUGAACUAUUAAACAAAUUCUAACAAUUCAUUGAUACGACUAUGGUUCUUUUGUUAGGGUGUAUGAGAAGUAAGAACAAUGUUAAAUAUAAUUAAUUAAUAAUGCGAAAAGGACAAAAAUUAAAUACCAAUCCAUUUAAUUUGAGAGGCGAUGCGUGAAAAAACUUUCAAUUAUUGUCGUACCCAUUUCAUCUAAUUCGGAAACCAAAAAAAAGAUAUGCAUUGAAUGUUCACGAGAUUAAUUAUAUUGAGAUUAUUCCUUAUGCAAUAUUUUUUUGGUAUAUUAAAAAUGAUAAGCAUUGCAUACUUUUUUGUGAUGUACUUUACUAAACGACCCCUUAGUACAUUAACACAAAGAGAUAAUGCUCAGAAAUAGAGUCCGGAGUCAAAAGGGCAACAAAUUUUUUCAAAAAUUCCAAAAGGGCAACAAAAUUAUUUAUCAAACCAAAAGGGCAACUGUCACGACCCAGACUGUCGUGAUUGACACUCACACUAACACUUCGGUGGGAGAACCACUAUUACGAUCCAAAUCAAGCAAAUAAUCUAAAAACUAAGGCAUUAAGUCAACACUAAGGAAAUAAAAAUAGAGUUCCCAUAAACUCUAACAAAAGUCUAACAAUAAUAGCUAACAAUGCGGAAGAAUAACCUAGAACCUAAAAGUCAAUGUACCAAAACAUUCUAACAAUGAAUCACGUCUAAACAAGAAGGGAUACAACUCCAACUAAUGAACUAAUCAACUAGCUAAAACAAAUGUCUAAGUCUGAAAAUGGUGAACAUAGACGAAAGAGAAUCUCAUGGUAGCCCGGAAGAAUUGGCUCACCCUUGAAUUCGAAGCAACGAUCACUGAUCUUCUAAGCGAAGUCUGUCAAUAGCCGCUAUGCCCUGUACUCAACAAAAAUAAGAGCAAGUGCAGAAUCAGUACACAACCACAGUGUACUGGUAGGAUCACGCAGCUAUCCCACUAGUGCAACAUAAACAGGUCAAACAACAUUAUAAUCACAUGCAUAUAUAUCAACAUAUACAAUAUUAUCAAUAUUUACGAACAACGAACAACUUCACAUUUUAUGUCAAAUCAUUGGUACUCUCAUGGAACCCAAACCCAAAUAGUUAGCAUGCCGGAACGUGGCAACAGAUUCCAUAGUUAUGCCGGAACGUGGCAACCGAUCCAGUUUAGUUAUGUCGGAACGUGGCAACCGAUCCAUUCAACACACCACAAUCACAAUCACAAGUAUAUCAUCAAUAUCAUACAUUUAAGUCAUGAUUUCAUGGCAUUCAUCAAUUCUCUAUCUUAUUUACAACAAGUGUGAUCAAUGNNNNNNNNNNNNNNNNNNNNNNNNNNNNNNNNNNNNNNNNNNNNNNNNNNNNNNNNNNNNNNNNNNNNNNNNNNNNNNNNNNNNNNNNNNNNNNNNNNNNNNNNNNNNNNNNNNNNNNNNNNNNNNNNNNNNNNNNNNNNNNNNNNNNNNNNCUACCUCGAAACAAGCUUGAAACCCUAAGAAACUUGAUCAUUCUCUUCCGAAUUCGUUCCGCUUGUUCUUGGUCUACAAACAAUCAAUAUAAUACGGGAAUCAAUAAACAAUCAUUAAUUACCCGGAUUACUAACAAUUCUAUGAACCCUAGAUCAAACACAUGAUCCCAAUUAUCUAAAUUAGGGUUGUUUCCACCAUAGAAUCUAUAAAAAAAAAACUCCCCCAUCAAUAUUCAUCCAUUCUAUUACGUUCUACGGAUUGAAAAAUGGAUUAGUGGAGUGAAAAGCUUACCUUUAGCCUCAAGAAUGGUGAAAAACGAGUAGGAGUCGCCUGUGGUUCGAUCCUAAAGAUCGAAAAGUACAUAAUGAGGUCGUUUAGGGGUUUACUAACGACUUUAAUUCGUGUCGAGCCCGCCACAACGGCCACCACUACGCCACAGUGGCAAAACCCAGCGCCAAGGCAGCAAUCUCGAGACAGAGAACUAAUUCAAGAAUUCCAAAAUCCUCAUUUCACAACACACCUCUAACCAACGAUGCUCAGAAAAUACCUUUUACGCCAAGAUCGAUUCCGGGAAUUCUACUCGCCCAAAUUCAAUUCCGUAAAGUCGUAUGGAUUCCUUAACGAGUUAUCUAACCACUCAUGCAAUCAAAUCAUAAAUACUUCACCCGAUUGUUACCAUAUUUCCCUACACCUCGAUGACUCCAAUUUCGUCUAAAUCUGGACAAGGUUGGGAAAAUCCAAAUACUACGAAAAAAAUUUCCAACCCCAAAUUUUUCCUCGUUGGAUUUUCUAUAAUGAAUAGGUCGUUACAGCAACAAAUUUAAACACCAUCUAAAUCAGGAUUUCUGCCACAAGGCGCGGAUAGCCAUGAAACAUGUAAGGCGCAAGCUCAGCCGCCAUGAGCCUUACAAGGUGCAGGGAAUCUGCACUUUGCUGCUUUUUCUAAAAAAAUAAUAAUUUGCUUUGCUGCUUUUUCUAUAAAAAAAAUAAUUUGUAAUAAAAAAAUUUGCUCCUUUGCUGUAUCUAAAAAAAUAAUAAUUUGCUUUGCUGCUUUUUCUAAAAAAAAAUAUUGCUUUAAUAAAAAAAUUUGCUCCUUUGCUGUAAAAAUUAUUUGUCUAAAAUAAAAAUAAAUCAACGGUUACACCAAAAUCUGCUUUGAUAUCAUUUUGGCUUUAAGUUUACUCGUGUUUUAUCUUUGUAUGUUUGGGGUGAAACUAGUAGUAAAAAAUUAUUAGAUAAAGUAAAUAAAAAUAAUUAAAAAAUACUAUAUUAAAAUUACAAACAAAUAAAAAUUUAAAAAAUAAUAAUAAUUAAAAACUAUAUAUAUUUAUCUAUAUCUAUAAAGGAGAAUCAAGACAAGGUGAUGUGGCACAUCUCUAUGACAUCCAUUCCUAUUUAUAUUUUUUCUCCUUUUUUUGGCCUUUUUUCUUCAUUUUUUCAUUAAAUAAUUUGCUUAUUAAUUAAAAUUCAAUCAUAUUUACUAUUGUAAUUAUAUGUAAUGAGUUGUAAAAAACCUUCAUCCUUUCACAUUCUCUAUUUAAAUAACAUGUCUUUUCAACUCUUUUCUAACAUUUUUUAUGGAUUACCAAAUCUAUAAAUACCAAUCAUCUAUGAAGAUGUUGAAUGUUCAUUUUGAUUUUUUCAUUCUCUGUUUUUAUUAGUAUAGGUUUUUUUCUUCUUUUAGAAUUUCUUUUUAUUCGUCUUUUUAUUCAUCAAUCAUGUAUUUAAUAUUCAAAUAAGAAGACAUAGAAAAGAUAAUAUCAUGAUAUGUCAUUUACUUUGAUUAAGAUCAUAGAUAUAUUCUUCAAUGAUUCAUCACAGAGGCAAAGAGAUGUUCACAUUAUUUGGUACAAGUUAAACAAAAUGAAGAAGGAAGCUUGAUUAUCUUGGAAGAUUCAUGAAGAGAGAUUGUCGUAGUAGUAUAAAAGUUUGAAUGAUUUUCAAAGAUUUUGAAAAUUCAUUAUUGUAUUAUUUUAAUUUCAAUUAAUAUUAUUCUACCCUCUUUUAUUUUGUUUCUUCCUCUUGACAAAAAAAAAUUGAUAAAAAGACAUGAUUUCCUUUUAUUCACCAUACAAGAGUAAUAUGAAACUCUAAUAAUUAACCAACUUAGUAAAAAGCUCAAUUAACCAAUUUUACUGAAUUAACUUUGCUAUUAUUAUUGUUGUUGUUGUUGUUGUUUAAUAUUUUAAAAUUUUCACAAACUUCACAAAAAGUAAAAAAUAUACAAAAUGGUGUUAUUUCACUAAAAAGGAACAAGAGAAAACAUGGUGAAAUGCGAUUUUUUUUAAAAAAAAUCCUUUUUUCUUUUACAUUUCUCUACAUAAUUAACUUAAUAAUAAAUCAAUAAAAUGUUUCCUACUGUAAAUUUAGACCAUGUAGAAGAAAUAAAUUAAAAUUCUUUCUGAUCAAUCUUGAUUCCUCAUAAAUCUUUGGUACAAAUUAAAAUUCAGGUAACGAUUCUGACUUAAUCAACCCAAAAUUUUUUUUAUUGUAAUUUAUUGUUUAUCAUAUUUUAGAUGUCUUUUGUUACUUUUUCAUUUUCUCCUAUUAAAUAAAUAAAUAGAGAAACUGAUCCUGCAAACUUAAUUAUAACUUUAACCUUGUCAUUUCUUAAAAUUAAUUUCAUUAAUUUCCUUUCUUAAACUAAGAAAUAUCUCUUUUAUAUAUAUAAUCUCAUAAUUUAUACUCUAUAUUUUUAUCUUCAUAACUUAUAUUUCCAUAAUUUCUAUAACUCCUCAUAACCCUUAAAUUUAAAUGUAUAAACUUAUGAUAACUUAUUGUGUUUCUUAAUGAAUAUAUAAAAGAAGAAAUACAAACAAUGUGAUGCGACACAUUUUUAUGAUCUUGAUUUGUAUUUAUCUUUUCCCCUUUUUUUAGCAUUUUUUCCAAAUUUAAAUAAUUAUUUUAUUAUAAAAGUAAAAUAUUUAAUUUAUUUCAAAUAAAUAUUUUAUUAAUAAAAAAAUAUUUAUAACAAAGACUCUUCACAUACCAAUUAAGUAAUAAAAAUUAAAAAUUAUUUGAUCCAUUAAAUUAGAGAUUUGCCAGUGUCUUAUCUCUUUUCCUAAGCCCACAUAGUAUAACAAUUAAUAUCAUUUGAAGUCCUAUAUUUAUGUCUUUUAUAUUUGUCCUUUUCAACCACAUUUGUUUUAAUAUUUUUACCUUCAUAACUCAUUUAUUUAAUUUUUACUCAUAAUAAUAUUUAUGACUCUCAUAUUCUUUACCUUUUCAUAUUCAUAAUACUUAAAUAUUAAAUGUAAAAGUUAAGAUACUUUAUGGCAUUCCUCUAUUUUUAUCUAUAUAAAUUUAUAUUUUUUGUUUCAUGAAUUUNNNNNNNNNNNNNNNNNNNNNNNNNNNNNNNNNNNNNNNNNNNNNNNNNNNNNNNNNNNNNNNNNNNNNNNNNNNNNNNNNNNNNNNNNNNNNNNNNNNNNNNNNNNNNNNNNNNNNNNNNNNNNNNNNNNNNNNNNNNNNNNNNNNNNNNNNNNNNNNNNNNNNNNNNNNNNNNNNNNNNNNNNNNNNNNNNNNNNNNNNNNNNNNNNNNNNNNNNNNNNNNNNNNNNNNNNNNNNNNNNNNNNNNNNNNNNNNNNNNNNNNNNNNNNNNNNNNNNNNNNNNNNNNNNNNNNNNNNNNNNNNNNNNNNNNNNNNNNNNNNNNNNNNNNNNNNNNNNNNNNNNNNNNNNNNNNNNNNNNNNNNNNNNNNNNNNNNNNNNNNNNNNNNNNNNNNNNNNNNNNNNNNNNNNNNNNNNNNNNNNNNNNNNNNNNNNGGGCUAAUAACGAAAUUUUUGAAGCGAUUGUUUUCGUGGAUAAAGGAAUAAGUUUUUUUUUUAUCACAAACGUGUAUUUUUUCUUUGACGCUAUUUAAGGCAUAAUAAGACUACCCACAUGCAACAUUUUAAAAUUUUUUUAUGUUGUCAAUUAUCAUGAUUUAUAGUAUUUUUACGCAAUUUUAAAUAUAAAAAAAAAUUAAAAAUAAGACAAAUAAAUUAAAAUGGACCCAAUAUAUGUUAUUUUUGUUGUCUCAAUUUAUGUGACACAAAUGAAAUUUGGAGAGUCAUCUAAAUUUUCAUUUUUUUUUUUAAAAUGUUUUAAGUUAUUAAUUAUUGUGAUUUAUAAUAUUUUUAUGUAACUUUCAAAUAACGUACAUUACUGGUCACUUUGUCCUAAUUUAUGUGAUAUGGAUAAAAUUACAAAAUUAACCCUUUUAAAAUGUCUUUCAGAUAUUUGAAGUUGUUAAUUAUUAUUAUUAUUUAUAAUACUUUUUUGGUAAUUUUAAAAUGAUAUGUGUUAUUUUUUUUGUCCCAAUAUAUUUGAGCCUGAUAGAAUUUUGAGAGUCAAUGUAUUGUAUUAUAUAGGUUUUAAAUAUUUUAAAUUGGUAAUUAUUGUAAUUUUUAAUGCUUUUUAAGUCAUUUGUAAAUGAUAUAUGUUGCUUCCUUGAUUGGGACUUUUCCAUUUGUGACAUAUAUAUAUAUAUAUAUAUAGAUAUUUGGUGCCCGUGCCAGCAUGGGCCCAAUAAAUAUUAAUUUUUUUUGUUUUAAUUUAUGUGAUAUAAAUGGAAUUUGAAUAUCAGUCGAUUUUUUAUAUGUUUUCUUAAAAAUAUAUUUGAAGUUAUUAAAUUGUUGUGAUUUAUAGUAUUUUUGUGAUAGUUUUGAAUAAUAUAGAUUACUCAUGUUUCAAUUCACGUGAAUAAUCAUAAAUAUUUUCAGUUGUUAAUUUAUUGUGAAUUCUAGAAAUUUUGACGUUAUUUUCAAGUAGUACAUGUUACUUAUUGUAUUCCAAUUAGUCAACCAAAUUUCUUAUAUGAUUUAAAAAUAUUUUUAAUUACUAAUUAUUGUGAUUUAUAGCAUCUUUUAUGUAACUUUUAAUAAUAUAUAAUUUGUUCAAAUUCAUAUGACAAUGAUAAGAUUUCAAGAGUCAACGCAUAAAAUUAUUUUUUAAAAAGUUGUACCUCUAAUAUAUUUUGUAGCUAAAAUAUACUCUCUCCGUCCACUUGCAUUUGUCAUGUUGCACUUUAUGAAAGUCUAUUUGACUAAUUUUCAAAGUUAAAUCAGAUUAUAUUAAUUUGAUAUUUUUUUAAAAAAAUAAAUUAAAUAUGCAAAAUCUAUACAAAAAGUACUAUAAAUUGUAUUUUUUUGCCUAUGAAUAUGAUGAAAAAAACAUUGUAAAAUAUUAGUUAAAAUUCUUAUAGUUUGACUACUAAAAAGGAAAUCAUAACAAUUAAAAGUGCAUAGAGAGAGUAAUAAAUAGGUAAUUAAAUUUCAAGAAAUUUAAAAUAAAAGGUUGAAAAAAAGAAUUAGAUAGACAACAUAUAUUGAAAAUUGAAACAUAUAAAUAAUAAAUGGGCCCAAAUGAGGUCAAACUUUUUGGCUAAUAAAGUAGUAGGUAAUUAAUAAUAUAAAUUUUAAAGGUACAACCAUAAAAGAAGAUUGUACAACAACAUCAAGCACAUAUUGUUCAACACUUGUCAUGUGCUAAGUAGUAGAUAUUCCCACUUAUUAGAUAUAGUAAUAUAUAUAUUAGAUACAAAUAUUAUUAUAUAUAAAAUACCUCUUCUAUUUAUAUUGUAUUUAGUGAAUUAUUUGUGUUUUUUAUGAUCACGCGAAGCACGGAUAAGUUUACUAGUAUAUAUAUAAACCAAAAACUAAUGAAAAAAAAAAUAAAAAAUAAAAAUUAAAAAGGUGACAAGUCUACUGGCUCUUGCGCCUUGUAACUUGUUACUCAUUUAACUUUCACGUGAACUUUAGUUUCGCGUGAUAUAUUAUUACAAUGUUGAAUUAAAUCAACACUAUAAAACACGAGUAAACUUAAAGCAAAAAUGAUAUCAAAGCAGAUUUUGGUGUAACCAUUGAUUUAUUUUUAUUUUAGACAAAUAAUUUUUACAGCAAAGCAGCAAUUUUUUUUAUUAAAGCAAAAUUAUUAUUUUUUAGAAAAAGCAACAAAUUUUUUUUUUUUUUUUAAAGCAGGAAAGUGCAGAUUCCUUGUGCCUUGUAAGGCUCAUGUCAGUUGGGCCUUACAAGGCUAAAAGCUGCCUGCGCCUUACAGGUUGCAUGGAUAUCCGCGCCUUACGAUUGAAACCCUGAUUUAAACGGUAUUUAAAUUUGUUGCCCUUUUGAUUCGAUAAAUAAUUUUGUUGCCCUUUUAGAAUUUUCGAAAAAUUUUGUUGUCCUUUUGACUUCGGACUCCUCAGAAAUAUACUUAAACUUGUUGUUUUUUUGUGAGCUUUACGCUCUAAUAAUUCAGGUAGAAAAACAACAACUAAUAAUUGGCUUGAUUAGUUUCGAGAUGUAUUUUAAUAUAUAAAGAUUAAUAAUUUAAAUUAAAAAAAACAAUUAAAAAUUAGGAUGUAAAACUCGAAAAUAAAAGAGAUAAUAAUUAGUAUGCUUUUUUUUACCAUGAUGCAUGUCUUUAUGUUGUACUAAUUGUAUCAAUCAAUAUAUCACCUAACUAGGGACAACUUUCCAUUUUGUUCAUUUGUUGUACCAUAUAUAUUGAUUUGUUUUUAUAAAAAAAGUUUUUGAGUAUUGUACAUAAAGACACUACUAAAAAAUUGUGGACCGCUAUGUCGUUCGUUGCUAACGAAAAUAUGUCGCUAAGUCAUCGCUUUGUUGCUAAGUAGGAUUAGCAACAUAUUUCGUCAUUUAGUAAGAAAAUUUGUCCGUCGCUAAAUUCAGUUAUUUAGUAGUGAUACAUUUAUUAAUUUAUGUAAAAUGGCAAUAUAAAAUAGGGUAAAUUAUGCAAAAUAUCAAAUCAUAAACUUUACUUAUCAUCUUUUUAGUCUAAUUUAUAAAAAUUACCUAAAAUGGUCAUUCGAUCAUAUUUUUUUCAAAUAAAUAGCCACACAACCUUUUUUUCUUCUUCUUCAUCUUUCUUCGCCGUCUACCUCCUCCUUCUUUUCUUUGUUGCUUUCCUUUUUCUUUAAAAUUUGAUGUAUCUCAAAUGUGAAUUAUUAUGAGCGAAUUAUAUAUUAAAAGAUCCGAAAUAUCGAGAGAAUUUCAUAUUUAAAAUAUGGGAUUAUUUAGAGACAAUUUUGAGUUGGUCGGGAUUGAAUAGUCAGUUUUGUAUAGACUGUGUAUACUUCAUGUAUAGUUAAACUAUAUUCAAUAUUCAUCUUUUUGAGUGUAUCAUAAUGUAUAGUCAGUGUAUAGCUUAUGUAUACGUAAGCUAUAUUGUAUAGUCAAUGUAUACUUUCUAUGAUUUUUGACUAUUUUUUUUAUGUAAAUAUAAACAUGACUAUAUUUAUUGUAAGCUAAUUACUUUAUUAUAUAUAUUGAAACUAAUUAUCUUACACUCGUAAUGGAUUAAGUUUUUCACAAACUUGUAAUAAUAUAAGUUAUACAUAAUGAAAAGGUAAAACAAUUUCACUUAUGAGUAGCGUACAAAACUUAAUCUCUUGUAAUUAUAANNNNNNNNNNNNNNNNNNNNNNNNNNNNNNNNNNNNNNNNNNNNNNNNNNNNNNNNNNNNACAAAAGAGAACUGGGCAGGGGAAUAUUUUUAUUGUAUAAUUAUAAGUGUAUAGGACGAAUAUAUAUGUAUUUGCAUGUGUAUAUACAAUUUUCUUUCGCUUUAUACAAACAUAAAUUAUACAUUAUACAAACAUAAAACUGGGCAGGUGAAUAUUUUUAUUGUAUAAUUAUAAGUGUAUAGGAUGAAUAUAUAUGUAUUUGCAUGUGUAUAUACGGUUUUCUUUCGCUUUAUACAAACAUAAAUUAUACAUUAUACAAACAUAAAAUUGGGUAGGGAAAUAUUUUUAUUGUAUAAUUAUUAGUGUAUAGGACGAAUAUAUAUGUAUUUGCAUGUGUAUAUACGGUUUUCUUUCGCUUUAUACAAACAUAAAUUAUACAUUAUAUUUGUAUAAUUUGUGUUUGUAUAAAACGAGAAAAAGAGAAAGACAAAAGAAAAUUGGGCAGGGGAAUAUUUGUAUUGUAUAAUUAUAAGUGUAUAAGACGAAUAUAUAUGUAUUUGCAUGUGUAUAUACAAUUUUCUUUUGCUUUUACAAACAUAAAUUAUACAUUAUACAAACAUAAAUUUUACAUUAUAUUGUAUAAUUUGUGUUUGUAUAAAACGAGAAAGAGAGAAAGACAAAAGAAAAUUGGGCAGGGGAAUAUUUGUAUUGUAUAAUUAUAAGUGUAUAAGACGAAUAUAUAUGUAUUUGCAUGUGUAUAUACAAUUCUCUCUCGCUUUAUACAAACAGAAACGCAAAUUAUACAAUUUGUUGUAUAAAGCGAGAGAAACGAGCACAGAAGGAGCGAGCGAGAAAGGGAGAGUGGCGAGCGAGAAUUUGGAGGGAGAGAGGCGACUGGCAAACGUUUGCUAUGGGGCGCAAUUAAAUCAAACAGCAACUACUCCAUUUAUUUUAGAUUAUAAGUUUGUCAUUCUGUACAAUUAUCCCUUGAAAUAAAUCUACUUAAUCUUUAGAAGCAUCUUUUGGACCAAAUAUUUCUAGUGGCCAAGCUUGCAAAAAUGGUCUUAAAAGCCCACAUAUUUGUUAGUCUGAUGAGCAAACCUUCAAAAUAAAAAAUUGUUAAACUUAAAUACAAUUAAUACAUAAUAUAUUUGACAGAGAGAAUGAAAAUAUAUUGUUUAACUUUCUGUAUUUUAAAUUUUCUAGAUAUUUUUAUUGUUUAAAAAGGUGAUAAAUCAAGAAAAUAAAAAUAGAGAUUCAUCUUAUUAUAUUAUGGUAUAAACAAUAUUAAGAAAAGAUAAAAAAUAUAAUUAUUUACAUCACACGAACGAAAAUAAAUACAAUCAAGAUGAAACUCAAAAACUGAAUUUACUUAAUUUAAGUAUCCAAUAAAAAUAAUUUAGUAAAACAUAAGAGAGGGAAAAUAUCUACUAACUUAUAGCUUGCCACUCAAGAUAGUUGGAUACCUUGUAGUUUACUGAAAAAUUAUGUGAAGUUUGAUUAAAGAAAAGUAUGAUAUUGUAUUUUUUUCACAACAUUUCAGUUUCUAAUAUUUAGGGCUCGUUUGGUCAGAUUAAAUUAUCCCAAAAUUAUUUAUGUCGAAAUCAAUUAUAUCAAAGAUUGUUAUCGCAUAUUCAAUGUGUGAUAAAAAUAACAUUAUAAUUUUGGGAUAAGUUAUUCUGUGAUUUUAUCCCAAUCAAACAUGAAAUAAAAUCAUUCUAAAAUUAAUCCCAAAUUUAGUUAAUCCUUCUCCCUCAUACCAAAUGAGCUAUUAAGGUGUGUUUGGUAUGAAGACUUGAAAAAAGUUUUCUUAUUUCUUAUGUUUGGUUGACCAAAAUUUUUAGAAAAUAUUUUCUCUAGGAAUUGUUUUUUUAAAAUAAGGAAAAUAACUUCCUUUAUGGAAAUAGGGAAAAACAAGUUCGAUAAGUGACAAUCUAUGUUUAUUAUAUCUUCCCCGCUCACUCAAAUUCCUCAAACUCCUACCUGUUGACCAUCUCACCCCUGCNNNNNNNNNNNNNNNNNNNNNNNNNNNNNNNNNNNNNNNNNNNNNNNNNNNNNNNNNNNNNNNNNNNNNNNNNNNNNNNNNNNNNNNNNNNNNNNNNNNNNNNNNNNNNNNNNNNNNNNNNNNNNNNNNNNNNNNNNNNNNNNNNNNNNNNNNNNNNNNNNNNNNNNNNNNNNNNNNNNNNNNNNNNNNNNNNNNNNNNNNNNNNNNNNNNAUCUCCUUCUACCAACACAUCCUAAUAUAGUAAAACAUAGCAUGUUUUAUGUACGUUGAAAAAUCAACCCAUCAACUGUCAUGUGUUUUGCAGACCAAAAGUAAUAAUUAAAAAAAAUAGAAAAACAUUGAUAAUGAUAAUAAUCCAUAUUUUCCAACCAAUUUUUUUUAUAAAUAAAUGGGAAAGAAAAAUGUGAUAGAAUUAAUACAUUUUAGUUGCCACUAAAGUCAAAUAGUUUAUUUUGGAAAGAUAUUGAUGGAAUAUACCAUAAAAUGGGUGUACAAAAUUAUUUUUAAAGAAUUAAAAUUGUGAACAAAAUGCCGAAUAGAUAGCUCUCUGAUUGAAUCGGAUCAGAAGACACGACUAGUUAGAACUUAGAAUAUUAUGACGCCAUAACUUGGGUGAACUUUCGAUCACCAAGUGAGAUGGUCGAUAUUGUUUUUAAUUUCAUAAAAACAUAAGUAUAAAUUGCAUGUUUGUUCUUCAAAUGAGUUGAUUUUUAAUUUGUUCCCUUCAAAUGAGCUCCUCUUUAAAUUUUGUCAUUUAACUAUCAAAUUACUUUUGCCUAAUAUUAAAGUAUAAGUUCUUUAGAAACUGAAGUCAUAACUAAGUAUAACUUAUGAAUCUUAUGAUACAAAAAUAUAAAUUUAUUUCCCUUAAAAGAAUUAUUUGUUACGAGAGAUAUAAAUUAAUUAGGGCAUAAAUUAAUGACCACCACAAUAGGAAAAGAAAUGCAAAUAAUCCAAAUAUGACAUGUUUUGGAGGGUUAAUGACCCAUUAAUUAUCAACUCGAUUCAUAUUAACCUUCCCAAUUAAUCAUCUAAAUGUUGGAGUGUUUUUUUGCUUUAGAUAGGCCAAUGAAGAACCUUGUAAAAAAGAUAUUAUAGCAUGACCUUAAUAAAGAAUUGAAAUGUUAAUUUUGUUGGGUAAUUAAAUAAAUUAUUAAAAAAACAAUUAAAUUUGAAAAGAUUUGAACGAAUUGAGUCAUCAUUCAUAUUUAGUCCAUUUUAGUGAAACUCAAGUCCAAGUAAUCUUUUUAUUUAAUCAAAUUCAGUUUAACCGGUCUAUUUGACUACAAGUGACAUCCAUAAAGUUGAUUAAGCAUCGAUUGAGCUGAUUAACGGAAAUUAUUUUAUAAUAUAAGAUUUUAAAAGGGUACAAAUCAUAUAGUGAAAUCUUUUUUCAUGUUUAUUUAAUUUGUGAAAGAUACCAAAAAAAUUGUUUUGGAUUUAGCACUCUAUAGUCUCUUUGAAAAGAAUGCAUAAUUUGGGGUUUUCUUUUCUUCUCCAUACAAAUUUAUCAAGGUACAAAUAAUUUAAUAUCAACGUAAUUACACAAAGUUUCGUGUUUGAAGAAAAUCAUGGCAAGAAAUAGUAUAGUUAUAAGUUAAUCAUUAUACAUAAUUAAGUACUUAAUUUCAAAAUGUAAUACUUCUUUCGUGUGUUUGGUAUGAAGGAGUUAAUUUUCUCAAAUUAAGAUUCGAAAAGAUUAUGUAAAGACAUUUUUAAUUAGCAAAAUUAUUGAUCAUGAUAUGUCAUUCAAAUCAAAAUUAAGGUGUGUGGGGUAUAGAGGGAAAUACCCCCCCCCCCACUCCUAUGUCAGCUGCACCCCAGUACAACUACAGUAGGUCUCUUGAUGGACAUGAUUAGGGGUGUACAUGGUCGGGUUGGUUCGGGUUUUUCAAAUAUCAAACCAAAUCAUUUGUGUCGGAUUUUGAAAUCUAUAAACCAAACCAAACCAAUGAAACUCGGGUUUUUGAACUUCGGAUUUUUUAGGAUUUUUUAGGAUUUUUCCGCUAAAGUAUUCAUACAAACAUAUAAUUUACUUGUACUUCAAAUAUUUCUUCAGUCCUACCAAAAUACAACUAUCUAAGGUGUUUCUUAAGAAUAUUACACAAACAAUGAUAUGAUUGAUGACACUAAAAUAUCCAAAUAAUAAUAAUAAUGAAAUCGUGUAAAACAAAUAUUGCAAAUUAACAAGUCAAUAUGCAAAUGAUCAUAAUUUAAAAGUACUAAAUCAUGCUAAAAUAAGUUUAAUAAGUAUUAGCUACAUGACUAAAUAUUAAAGGAAAUUAAAAUUAAAUUAUGUAUUUUAAUUUCCCAAACCUAUGUAAAACUAAAGAACAAAUAUUNNNNNNNNNNNNNNNNNNNNNNNNNNNNNNNNNNNNNNNNNNNNNNNNNNNNNNNNNNNNNNNNNNNNNNNNNNNNNNNNNNNNNNNNNNNNNNNNNNNNNNNNNNNNNNNNNNNNNNNNNNNNNNNNNNNNNNNNNNNNNNNNNNNNNNNNNNNNNNNNNNNNNNNNNNNNNNNNNNNNNNNNNNNNNNNNNNNNNNNNNNNNNNNNNNNNNNNNNNNNNNNNNNNNNNNNNNNNNNNNNNNNNNNNNNNNNNNNNNNNNNNNNNNNNNNNNNNNNNNNNNNNNNNNNNNNNNNNNNNNNNNNNNNNNNNNNNNNNNNNNNNNNNNNNNNNNNNNNNNNNNNNNNNNNNNNAUAGUCGGGUUAUUUUUCAACACCAAACCAAGUCAAACCAACCACUAGUCAGUUUUUUUUUUCUGAUUUGACUUGAUUUGCGGUUUGGUUCGAUUUUCGGUUCGAUUUUAUACAGCCCUAGACAAAACCCUAGACAUGAUAUAUUGAGUAGAGUCAAAUAUACACUAAAGGAUAAAAAAAAAUGAGUUUUCCGAGGGGAGCAGAGAAUUUCACUCCUUGAUUAGGUGGUUAGAGCCUUGAUUAUGAAUAAACCGUAAUAUGAAUAGUCAGGCGCGAGAAAGUCGUUUGUCGACCGGGGGACUCAUCCUCAAUGCCGUUUAGGCUCUCUAGUUCAGAAACUACUAGACGUCUCGUAGAGCGAUUCUCAACAAGGACGUUGAGACUGUUAAAAAAAGAAGAAGGUGGAGCCAGGGUAUCGACACUAUAAGAAAAUAAGAAAUUAGUCACAUAAUUUAUUUGUAAUUCUUAGCUAAUUAUGUGUCGCUAAAAAUAAUUUUAGCUAAUUAAAUUGUCCUAUAAUUCAUCGUUAAUUCGUAGUUAAAUGAGAUCAGCAUUAUAGGACUUUUGUUGUUAAUUAGCUAUAAAAUUGUGUUUGUCCCUAGAUUUUCAUUUUCUAGCAGUGUGGAAGAGGUUUAUCGUUGAAAUACUAUAUUAUAUAUAAGGUUAAUUUUUAUUUCUUUAUAAAAAUAUAUAUAAUAAAUGUUGAAUCUCUUUAAUUUUUUUAUGUUUACCUUUUAAAUUUCAAUCUCCCUUAGUAAAAUUUUUAACUCUAUAACUGCCACAAACUUACCCCAACCCCUUCAUACACCUACUAUUUUGAAGUUGGCAACUUUCCAACAAUUGGUACAUUUUUGUACAAAGGUGGAAUUUUUAUUUUAUUAAGAUGUAUUCGAUUGAAAUAAAGUUUAAUUUGAAUAUUUAAAUGAAAUAUCUUAACAUAUUUAAUAGAUUAACUUCAUACUAAGACAAGUAAAAAUAUUUGUUAUCAUAAAAAAGCCAACUAAUAUCAUAAUAGCAAACACUUUUUUGUUCCUAUUAACCAAACAUCUCCUUUUUCUCCAAUUUUUCACCUAGCAUAAUGAAAUUGAAUUUACUCCGUUUUUCAAAAAAUAAGUGGUCAUGGGUCGAGGUCGGGAGAUUAAAAUUUGAAUCUCAAAUCGGGGUUGGAAGUCUGACUAGGGUAGGAAAUCGGAAUCUCAUGUUUGAACCCAUUUCGGGUGGUGAGAUUUAAAAAAAAAAUUGAAAAAUAUUCCCUAAUUUAAGGAAAUUUCCCCCCUUAAUUACAUUAUGUAUGAAAUUUAUUUUUCUUAGAUUAGAGAAAAAUAAGUCCAUUUAAUAAUUAUUUUUCAAAAUAUGAGAAAAUUAAAAAGUAAUUUUUCUUUAUAACAAUCACACUCUUAGAGGUUUCUACACCAUACGUAAUUUAAGGGGAGUAAGAUUGAUGUAUUAUUCAUAUUUUAUGAUAGAUAAUAUGAAUUGAUCUACAUUUGACCCACUUUUAAAUGAUUGGAUAACUAACUCAUUUAAAAUGAAUUGAAUCGAACGAAUACGCCUAAAUUAUAACCAUUUUUGCAAUCCCUAUAUACUCCUAAAGUUGCAAUGCAUUACCUACUCAUACAAUAAAAUUUCUCUAAUGAUGUCAAAUGACAAAAAUACCCUUAAGUAAAAUAAGAUGACAAGCUAACAACCCUAAGUUGCUCACCCUUUGUGGUUUCUAUAUAAGAGAUAAUUUUGUGAAAUAAUGAACAUGUAGGGAUUUUUACCUAAAAACAGAAAAUAUUAUCUUGUAUUAUUCCUAAAAUAUAUAUGUUUACAUGCAAAUAACCUUGGUGCAACUAUUUAUAUAACUUAGGCAUGUUCGGUUCGAUACCAAAAAAAAAAAAAAAAAUCGCAAAAAAAAUUAGUGUGAAAUGGAGAAAAAAACAUAUUGAAUAUCAUACAUCUAGUGUGAAAUCAAAAAAGUAAAAAGAAUUUUCUGUCAAGCUAAGUUGAAAAAAAUAGUUUCAUUCGAAAAUUUGUCCUCAAAAAUUGCGCAGAGAAUGUUUUAUCUUAACUAGGAAAAUGAUUGAUUAUACCGUGCAAAUCAAAUCACAAUUAACAUCCGAUCAGAGUGAAAGCUAGAAUUUUAAUUUUAUGAAUUUCUGAAUUUUAUAAUAAUGAUUUUAAGAGAUAAUAACUGAAUUCCAAAUUUAAUAUUUAUACAUAUUUAAUGAAUCCAUUAACACAAAUAUAUUAUUUAAAUAAAAUCUACGAAGUUUAAACUCGCAUACAAGCUACUAGCUUCACCCGUGAAAUUGACUAAAAAUCAUUGAAAAAACAGUACUUAAUAGUGUUGCAUGUGUUUUCACUCAUAGUGGUAUAUUAUUCUCUAUCAAGAAAAUGUACCUAUUUUUGAUCCCUAACUAUCAAAAAUCACCUUGGAAGAGUCUUACAAUGCACCACAACAUUCAUCCAAGACAUAAGUUUAACAUGUGGUUGACAUAAUUAAAAGCAUAGUCAGAAUUUAAAAGGUUAUGAUUAACAUUAUAAAAGCGGAGACAUAAGUUUUAUUUUGAAUCGUCUUUGAUAAAAAAAUAUUUCUUAAAUUUAAAUUGAUGAUUAUAUAUAUGUCAGUAUUCCAAUAACUUGAUGGUAAAGAACAAUAGAAGCAAAAUAGUCAUUUUAAAAUGCAUAUAAACAGUUUCAACUCUUUUUCUACUCUGAGUAUACUAAUUUUUUUUCCACCUCGUGUCCGAUAUUUAUAUUUUUUCUUAUGAAGGCCGAUAUUUAUAUUGAAGUCCGAUUAAAAUUGAAUUUACUUCUAAUAAUUUGCAGCUUUAUUCUUCUUUUCUCCACAAAAGGUGGUAGUUUGAUGAGAGUUUUUUCUUGUCGCUUGAAUCAUUUACGAUUCUUUUUUUUUCAAAAAAAUGUGAAUGAUGUCACAUAUUUUCAAUUUAUUUACCACCAAUUUUCAACAAUCGAGUACCCAAAAUUCAAAUGAAUCUUUCCAUUUAAAAUUUUAAUGAUUAACUAAUUUAUAUUUUUCAUCAAAUUAUCAGAAUCGUUAAACAAUAAUCAAUCAUGUAAUUUGAGGAGGACAUGUAGCCACGUGAACAUAUAUUUUGACAAAUUCAAAAAUAAAAUUUGUAUAAUUUUAAAAUGAAUAGUUAUAAAAUGCUAAAAUUUUCCUUGAUCGUUGUCUCAGGAUUUCACUCUUCUAUAUAGUCGAAAUUAUUGUUAUCAGUUAAGAAUUUAUCAACUUUAAUUCUAAAAAAUUAUAUGUAAAAAAUUCAUUUUUCCUUAACGUAUUCAAUAUCCUUUUAUGAAAAAAAUUAACACAUAUUUUGGAGGUGUAAUGCAACUGCUUCAUUUGCUUGGGCUUUUAAAUGGCAAUGAAAUAUGAUCUAAUAAUAUAAAUACUUUAUAUUGUAGAAAUAUAUUGAACUUUAAUAUGUUUUUUUUUAAUCUCAAUUUUUGUAAUUAUUUUUCUUGUCGAAAGUUAAUUUAGUUAAUGUCUUAAGCUAAAAUAAGUAAAAAAAUAAUUAAAAUUAAGAUAUUCAAAAGUUAUACAAAAAAAACACUUUAAAUUACAAUUAUUCUUAUAUUCCGAUAAUAAAAAAUUAUACUUUAAAAUAUUAAUAUUCAUAUAAUAUAAUUUUUUUUUUAAAAAAAAAUCACGUACUCCCUUCGUUUCUUCUUAGUUGUCAUGAUACGCUUUUCGAAAGUCAAUUUAACUAAUUUUCAAAGCUAAAUUAGAUUACUUUAAUUCGAUAUUUUAAAAUAAAAUUUUAAAUAGUCAAAAACUAUAUGGAAAAUACUAUAAAUUGCAACUUUAUUCAUAUUAAUAUGAUGAAAAAAUACAUCUUAAAAUGUUUAUCAAAAUUCAUAUGCUUUGACUCUAAAUAAAGAAAACUAUAACAACUAAAAAGAAACGAAGACAAUAAAUCGAAUCGAAAUAAUAACAAUAAUACAAGUGAGAGGACCAUUGAGGUAACAGUGACACAAAACACCUGAAAAAAUACAUUUUAAAAUGUCAUGGUGCACUUUUCGAAAGUCAACUUGACUAAUUUUCAAAGCUAAAUUAGAUUACUUUAAUUCGAUAUUUAAAUAAAUUUUAAAUAGUACAAAAACUAUAUGGAAAUACUAUAAAUUGCAACUUUAUUCAUAUUAAUAUGAUGAAAAAAUACAUCUUAAAAUGUUUAUCAAAAUUCAUAUGCUUUGACUCUAAAUAAAGAAAACUAUAACAACUAAAAAGAAACGAAGACAAUAAAUCGAAUCGAAAUAAUAACAAUAAUACAAGUGAGAGGACCAUUGAGGUAACAGUGACACAAAACACCUGAAACUUAAAAUUGCAUAGACUAAAAUAAGCCGACAAAAGAAUGUGGAUGACCUUGAAAACAUAUGGUGCGUAUAAAUUGAGUAUUUUCGAUAUCAUAAAUUUAUAUAAAAAAAUAUACUAAUAGAUAACGAAUAUCUAAUGCACAUUAAGAACUUUGAAGAUUUAACUCAUAAUAUUUGAAUUCUGAAUCCAUCACUGUUCAAAAAUGACAUGAGUUUUCAUAAACAAGUUGAAAAUACUCUUCAUAGACCUCCUCAAAUAACAUAUGGUUUUCAUUAUUAUUGAACUCUAUGCAUUUUUCAGGUGGAAAAAGGAAAUUAUCAUUGAGGAGUAAUUCAUCUAUCACUUGAAGUUUCUCAAAAAUUUCAUCUUGAUUUUUGAUCUUCAAUAUUUUGAGAUGAAGAAUUGGAUUUCACUAGUAGAGGUUGCACUACUUGUGCCAUCUUGAUUGCUAGAAGAACCUAAAAGAGAAAAAAAAAACCAUAGGCUUGUGUCAUUCGAUAAAAUUUCAUAAAAAAAUAAAUAAAUCAUAUAUAUGAGUAAAUAAUAUUAUAUUUUAAAAAACUAUACUAUAUUUAGCGGUUUUGAUAUACAUCACCUAAUAAUUAAUUUGUUUUAAAUAACCGCUAAUUUCUUUUUAAUUUUAAAACGUGACACAAUAGAAGGUUCCAUUAGAAAAUCACAUAUGCACUUACUAGUGAAAUUGUGAUUAUUAUCUGAUACUGCUUGCGCGAAAUCCUGUGUAUGUGGCUGCUCCUCUAUCUUUGUUGCUACUUCAUCUUCAAUAUUAUGUUUUUCGACAAUCUUCUCCUUCUUCUUCCUCCUCGUCUUAUUUUCGUCGUUAUCUUUUCGAUUAAUUUGGGAAGAGACGUUCGAUUUUUCCUUUUUCCUUCUCCUUUUUUUUUCUUGAGAUUUGUGUUUCCGCGGCUCAUUUCCUUGUGCUUUGAGUUUCUUGAGGAGACUCGUGUUCCAAUAGUUUUGAUGUCAUUGUCUGUUCUACCGGAUAUUCUUCCGGCAAUGAGGGACCAAGACUACCCAAAAGGGUAUAAAGUCGAACAAUAAGAUCGUCCUCUUCGGGUGUAAAGGUCCCUCUAUUGAGUCCCGGUUUAAGAUAAUUCACCCAUCUUAAUCUACAACUCUUGCCGCAUCUUAGUAGCCCUAAUAUAUGUGAACUACAUUUAAUUAGUUAACUAACUAGUUUAAGUUAAUAAGUGCAUUGAUAAAAUAAACUUUUUAUAUAAUUCGAUCAGGGUGAUCAGAGGUGAAAUUAACCACAACUU
rnacentral:lncRNA from 1 species